rnacentral:misc_RNA from 1 species
UUUCCGUAGGUGAACCUGCGGAAGGAUCAUUAUUGAAACAUUGUAAAGGCAAGUUGAGCUGGCCCUUCUAGGGUAUUGUGCUCACUUACCUUUCAAUCUUCAUCCACCUGUGCACUUUUUGUAGAGAGUCUUGAGAACGUGGGCCUUGUAAAAGAGGUUUCCUUAGUAUCGGGCUUUCUAUGUCUUUACAAACUCUGAAUGUAUGUCUUUGAAUGUCUUUAUAAAGGAACUUAGUUGAACCUUUUAAAAACUAUACAACUUUCAGCAACGGAUCUCUUGGCUCUCGCAUCGAUGAAGAACGCAGC